AACGAACGCUGGCGGCGUGCCUAACACAUGCAAGUCGAACGGGAUGAGGGGGCUUGCUCCUUCAUUUAGUGGCGCUCGGGUGAGUAACGCGUAGAUAAUCUGCCUGACGAUCCGGGAUAACACUUCGAAAGGGGUGCUAAUACCGGAUAAGCCCACGGGGACUUUGGUCUUUGCGGGAAAAGGGGGGGACCUUUUGGCCUUCUGUCGUCAGAUGAGUCUGCGUACCAUUAGCUAGUUGGUAGGGUAAAGGCCUACCAAGGCGACGAUGGUUAGCUGUGCUGAGAUGAUGAGCAGCCAAACUGGAACUGAGACACGGUCCAGACUCCUUCGGGAGGCAGCAGUGGGGAAUUUUGCGCAAUGGGCGAAAGCUUGACGCAGCAACGCCGCGUGAGUGAUGAAGGCUUUCUGGUCGUAAAGCUCUGUCGAGGGGAAAGAAGUGUAUUGUGGUUAAUACCCAUGAUACUUGACGGUACCCCUAAAGGAAGCACCGGCUAACUCCGUGCCAGCAGCCGCCGUAA
rnacentral:rRNA from 1 species